GGUCCUUACCUUGCAGUUUUGUAUG
rnacentral:misc_RNA from 1 species